rnacentral:misc_RNA from 1 species
GCAGAAGGAUCAUUAGUGAAGAUUUGGGCAGGCCAUACGGACGCCAAAAAGUGUCCCUGGCCGCCUACACCCACUAUACAUCCACAAACCCGUGUGCACUGUCUUGGAGAAAGGCUUCAGAGAAGUUUUUUGUGGCCUCUCUUGUGGUCUUUCUUCGCUACAAACUCGAAUGGUUAGUAUGAACGUGGAACUUGGUUGGACCGUCACUGGCCAACAAACUAUACACAACUUUCGACAACGGAUCUCUUGGUUCUCCCA